rnacentral:lncRNA from 1 species
AGGCACCUAUUGUGGAUUCUGGUAUCAUUGCUGCAUUCAUAUCUCUAGUCAUGUUGGAUUUCUCUUUAAGCUUUGACUGGAGCAACGUGUGUUCCAUUACACCAAUUUGAAUGUCCAUCUGAAUGGUUUCUUGCUUCAGUUUUGUUAAGGCCUGUUUAAUCCUCACGAGAGGAGUGCCAUCCGUCAUACUGCUUCCCUUCUCUUCUGUUUCCUGCUUCACUUUCUCUAAAACUUCUGUAAUCUCAGAAAGGACUCUAAUCCUUUCAGUUACUCCUCCGCUUCCCUCCUGGUACUUCUCCUUAGCCUCACUCAACAAGGCUUGUGCUGAACGGUAUUCUUGAAUCAAAUGCUCCAACUGAUUGUUGAUGUACUUUUCCCUGCUAUUGAUCUUUUCCAAUGUUCGGCUGAUUUCAUUAUGGAAUUUGUCAAGGUAACCCCUUGUUUCUUUCAAAGAAGAUUCGAUUCCAUCCUUAUGUUGAUGCAUUUGAUCUACAUGGAUCCUCCAAUCCUUAUUGUCAGUCCUGACUGUAACUUUCAGCUGUGGAAGCACACGUUCCACUUCCAGAUUCCACUCUGCUGCAUCUGUCGUGGACUGUAAGAUUUCUUCUUGUUUUGUGGUGUCUUUCACAUCCGAUCUGUAUGUUUGUGCCUUUAGAACAUUCAGAUCAAUAAAGUUUUCUUCAUUAUCUGACUCUUCUUCUGCAACAUCCUCUUCCAGUUUAUUAAGUGUUAAUUCCGUGUCAUCUUCUGUUAUUUCUUCUUCUUCGAGCUCAUCUGUUGGGUACACUGGCC